AGUGAACGCUGGCGGUAGGCCUAACACAUGCAAGUCGAACGGCAGCAUAGUAAGAGCUUGCUCUUACGGGUGGCGAGUGGCGGACGGGUGAGGAAUACAUCGGAAUCUACUUUUUCGUGGGGGAUAACGUAGGGAAACUUACGCUAAUACCGCAUACGACCUACGGGUGAAAGCAGGGGAUCUUCGGACCUUGCGCGAUUGAAUGAGCCGAUGUCGGAUUAGCUAGUUGGCGGGGUAAAGGCCCACCAAGGCGACGAUCCGUAGCUGGUCUGAGAGGAUGAUCAGCCACACUGGAACUGAGACACGGUCCAGACUCCUACGGGAGGCAGCAGUGGGGAAUAUUGGACAAAGGGCGCAAGCCUGAUCCAGCCAUACCGCGUGGGUGAAGAAGGCCUUCGGGUUGUAAAGCCCUUUUGUUGGGAAAGAAAAGCAGCAGGUUAAUACCCCGCUGUUCUGACGGUACCCAAAGAAUAAGCACCGGCUAACUUCGUG
rnacentral:rRNA from 1 species